rnacentral:rRNA from 1 species
GCAAGCAAACCCAACCUAAGUUUGACCUCGGAUCAGGUAGGGAUACCCG